rnacentral:rRNA from 1 species
AACGAACGCUGGCGGCAGGCCUAACACAUGCAAGUCGAGCGAGGGGUAACCCUAGCGGCGGACGGGUGAGUAACGCGUGGGAACGUACCCUUUGGUUCGGAAUAGCCCUGGGAAACUGGGAGUAAUACCGGAUACGGUCGAGAGACGAAAGAUUUAUCGCCGAAGGAUCGGCCCGCGUUGGAUUAGGUAGUUGGUGGGGUAAUGGCCUACCAAGCCGACGAUCCAUAGCUGGUUUGAGAGGAUGAUCAGCCACACUGGGACUGAGACACGGCCCAGACUCCUACGGGAGGCAGCAGUGGGGAAUCUUAGACAAUGGGCGCAAGCCUGAUCUAGCCAUGCCGCGUGAUCGAUGAAGGCCUUAGGGUUGUAAAGAUCUUUCAGUGGGGGAAGAUAAUGACUGUACCACAGAAGAAGCCCGGCUAACUCCGUG